CCAUCGGGCUAGUGGAGAGAAGGCUUGUGCCACAAUGGCAAACAAAGAGUGGGAAUUCAGAAUCAAGUUCUAAGUUCCGUGAUGCGGGAGAGAAGUCUUUGACCAUGAUGAGCCUGUGUAAUAGAGAAGGGUCAAAGAAGCUGUAGCCGGAUGAAGCUUUGCGACAGCUGCGCCUGGGUUGCCACUCCUGGACCACAGUUGCUUGCUAAGUGGAGUGCCCCGAGCGGCCUCAGUGGCCACCGCCCUUGUUGCCUUGUCCCCAACAAUUCUGCCCAGCUUGACCUCCACCAGGGAAAGGCUGGGCUGGGGCCACAGUUGCAUCGGUGCCCAGAUCUGGAUGACGUGACUUUCCCCUCUUCUGGACUCAGAUGAAACACUAUACCACAGGACACGGGAUUUGGCCUCCCUGCCAGCUGGGUGAUGCACCCAGAAGUGCAGGGCCAUUAAUGUCCUGUGGGGCAAAUGUUGACCACGAGAGACUGCAGAUAGGAGGCAAGUGACAGAUGAAAUUCUCUCCUCCCCGUUCCCACCAUCCCCCACCCUGACAUUCAUGUAACUGAGUGAUUGUCUGUGUUUCCUCAUGAAGCUGUGGCCAGCUCCAUAAUGUCCCACCUUGUAUUUGUUUUCCCUCCUCUUUGGUCUCACUUCCGUUUCCCCUGCUCUCUUGCUGUCCUGAGAUUGCACUCCCCCAGUAAAGCAUGAGCUUGGCCGCUUGACCUCAGCCUCUGUUUCCUAGGGAAUCAGAGCCGAGUCCAUGUAUAAAGAACUAUUAGAAGACAAUACGGAAAAGAUCAACAAGCCUAUAGAAAAGUAGGCAGAUAUGAGUAAACACUUCUCAAAAAAAGUAACUGUAAAAGCAACUGUAACUAACUCUUGAAAAAUGUGAAAAGAUGCUCAAUUUCACCCAUAAUAAAAGAAACACAAAAUAAGAUUAUGAUAUAUAUUUUUUUGCCUAUCAAGUUGAACAGUCUGAUGACAUGCUGUGCCAGCAAGACUGGAAAAAAUAGGCACUCUCAUUGCUGGUAGAAAUAUGUAUUGAUAUGGAGGAUAAUUUAGCAAUAUCCUUAAAAAUAAAAAAAUUCGUGUACUCUUUAGCCCAGCAGUUUAAACUCACUGUUGUUUUCUUUGUAAAAAGAUUGGAAAUAAUCUAACAUCCAUCAAUUAGAAAAUUAUUCAGUAAAUUGUGGUAUAGCCACAAAGGGAUAAUUAUGCAGCUAUUAAAAAAGCAAAGGGGAGAUUUUUUAUCUACUGAUGUGUAAAGACCUUCAAUUUAUGUUAAGUAAAAAUAUCUCUAGAAAGAUACACAGGAAAUUGACAACAGUGGUUGCUUUGAGGUGGGGAAGUCUUAGUUUGUACCUUUUGUACCUUUUAAAUUUUGUGCCACAUGGAUCUAUUUUUUCCUUAUCAACUUUAUUGGGAAAUAAUUUACGUACAGUUAAACCACAUCCACUGAAAUGCAAAAUGCAACGAGUUUUGAAAAUUGUAUACACUUGUGAAACCACCACCACAAUCAAGAUACAGAACAUUUACAUCAUCCCCAAAAGAUUCCUUAUGCCCCUUUGCUGCCCAUCUCUCUCUGCCCUGGCCCCCAACGACCACUGAACUGCCUUCUGUCAUUAGCAGGCUAGUUUGCAUUUUCUUUUCUUUUUUUUCCUUUUUCUCCCCAAAGCCCCCCAGUACAUAGUUGUAUAUUCUUCAUUGUGGGUCCUUCUGGUUGUGGCAUGUGGGACGCCGCUUCAGCGUGGUUUGAUGAGCAGUGUCAUAUCCGCGCCCAGGAUUCGAACCAACGAAACACUGGGCUGCCUGCAGCGGAGCGCGCGAACUAAACCACUCGACCACAGGGCCAGCCCCUAGUUUGCAUUUUCUAUAAAAGGAAUCAUGCAGUAUGUCCUCUUUUGUAUCUGGCUUCUGCAUACUGAUUUUGAGAUUCAUUCCCGCUGUAAUGUGUAUCAGUAGCUCGUUCCUGAAUCGCGUUCUAUUGUAUGGCUGUACCACAUUUUGUUUAUCUAGCCAACUGUUGGUGAUCUGUUGAUGUUAACAGAUUUGGGCUAUGUGAAUAAUGCUGCUGUGAACCUUUAUGUACAAGUCUUCGAAUGGAAAUUUCUUCUCAUUUAAGUAAAAAUGAAAUUUCUUUUCAUUUCUUUUAAGUAAAUACCUAGGAGUGGAAAGGAUAGAUUGUAUGGCAUGUGUAUGUUAACUUCUUAAAAAAUGCCAGUUUUCCAAAGUGAUUGGACCAUUUUUCAUUCCCACCAGCAAUGUAUGAGAAUUCUAGUUGCUCUAAAUUCUUGUCAAUACUUCAUGUUGUUGGUCUUUUAAAUUUUAUAAUGAGUGUAUAGCGGUGUAUUACCUAUUUUAAAAGAUACAUUUAAGAUUCAAAAUAAAUAGACAAUUGCUUAGAGCCUCUUCCCCACAAGUCUGUUAAUAACAUGAUAAGAAAGUGGAGUGUUGAAAUUUUGAGAAGGGAGGUGUAUUAGUUCUCUAUUGCUAUAUGACAAAUUACCAUAAACUUAGCAGCUUAAAACAACCAGCACUUAUUAUCUCACAGUUUCUGUGGGCCAGGAGUCCAGGCGUGGCUUUGCUGGUUCUUUUGCUCAGGGUCUCACAAGGCUACAGCCAAGGUUUCAGCUGAGGCUGCAUUCUUUCCUGGAGCCCAGAGUCCUCUCCAGCUCACGUGGCUGUUGACAGAAUUCAGUUCCUGUGAUUGUAGGACUGAGGUCCCUGUUUUCUUGCUGGCUGUCAUCUGGCGCCUGCUCUCAGCAUCUAGAGGUCACCCACAUUUCUUGGCACGUGGCCCUUUCACAGGCUCUCACAACAUGGCAGCUUACCUCUUUAAGGCCAGCAGGAGAAUGUCUCUCUCCAGUCCUCUAAGACAGUCUUACAUAACUUAACAUAAUCACAGGAGAGUCUAGUCCAUCAGCUUUGCCAUUUUCUGUUGGUUAGAUGCAGGCCACACAUUCUGCCCACACUCAGGAGAGAGGGUUACACAAGGACAUGACUCAUUGAGAGACAUCGUACAUGUGUUCGACACAGGAGGCAUACUCUGUCAGACUUGGGCAGUGGUUCUCAAAUUUGAGUGCACGUAAGAAUCACGUGGGGGACCUGUUAAAAUUAAGAUUAAGAUUAAAAUUCCUGGGAACUAUCCCCAGAGUUUCUGACUCAGUAAAUCUGAAUGGGGCCUAGGGAUUUGUUUUGCUAAUGAGUAGCUAAUUUCUCAGAUGCUUCUGAGACAAGUGGUCUCCAGGUCCCAUCUAUAGAAACACUAUCAUGGAGGUUACUCGUGGCUUUGGAGAGGGGCACACUGAGCAUCUUUCCUCUUUGCCAAUCAGUGAGAUUGAGUAAGUCCAUCAUCCCUUCUUAAAGACCAAAGGAGAACCUGGAUGCUAUUUACCAGCAGAGCCCUACAGAGGCAAAGAUCACAGGCAGGGACAAAGAAGUCUAUGAAGCAGAAAAACCCUUAGGACAAAGUAAUCCCCUAGGACAUUGCUGAAAAGCAAGGCUAAUGAAUCUAAGUAAAACCAACUGGUAAUGUAAUAUUUAAUAAAGUUUACGUUAGGGUUCUACUACUUACUAGAUGUGAAACACUGAUGAAUCACUAACCUCCCUGAGCCUCAAAGUCUGCAAAACGAGGAUGAUAAUACCUCCUUCUCGGAUUUGUUACCACAUAUCAGUGAGACACUGUCAGCAAAAAAAUAUGCCUGCAUUCAAAUAUCUGCCAAAUCCUACCCCCAAAAAAACGAGAAGCUGAAAAAGGAUUCCAGACUGUCAAAAUACUACCACAAAAGUUGGUGCUUCUGUUUCUCUAUAGAGACAAGUUAAAGAAAACAGGAAAGUAAAAAAUGAUGCAAUUAAGAUAAACACAAGGGGCAAUGAAAGAUCAUACAAGUAUGUCCUAUUUAUAUUACAUGUCAAGGAGAUAAACUUCCCCAAAAGGAGAAAAUAAGUUUAAAGACUGGUUAUAAGAUACAUAUAAUUAUUCACUACUUACAAGAAAAAUAAUUAAAACCAAAAGACUUUUUUUUAAAGUUGAAAACAAUGGGAGUAUUCUAAGUUCUCUUAGGAGUGUGUAAAAAAAAUUACGUGAAAUAAAGUAGAUUUUACAGUCACAAAUAUUAAGAGUGAUAACAUACACUGAGCAAUGAGUGCCCAACAAUUCUCAAGUUUCGAGUCCUAAAUAAUGUAAUAAUAAAAACAUGCACAAAGUUGGUAAAGAUUAAAGAGAAAAAUAAGAAUAUAAUAGCAUUUGGAGUCUUUGGCACUUCAUUAACUAGUUAAUUUUUAUUUUACCAAGAGGCAAAAUUAAAUCACAAAUGAAAAAGAAAAGCAAUCUUUAGGCAUAUAGUCAUAUUUUUAAUAGUUGUUGAAAAGACAGUCAAUGAAGUUUAGUGUUUAUUCCUUAUUAAAGCUUUGAAAUAAGAUGUGGAGAUUUUUAUUCUUCGAUGAGAAGAGCCACUGUCACACUUACUGGAGGUGCGUGUGCUCCUCACCUUGACAGCAGGAGCAAAAGGCUCACCCAGCGCUAUUCUUUUCAAUAUGAUAUUGGCAAUGCUGGUAAUGACUAUUUGGGAAGGACAUAACAAUAUAGGGAUUAAAAAAAUACUGCUUCUUGUAGGCGACAUGAUUAUAAACCCAAAAUUUCCAAGAAAAGAAAUCUCUAAAUUACCGGAAAUAAUAAGUGAAUUCAGCAAAGAGGCAGCCAAAAGAAACCCACAUAGAACAAUUGCAUUUCUAUCAUCAGUGUAAUACAGCUGCGUAUUAAUAAAAACAUUAAGUAAAAAUGAAAGAUUCCAUUUACAACCAAAACCAAAAAUAAAUUUACUUGAGGAUUUCCUUUGAGCCACAAAAUUUAUUCCAAGAAAAUUAUUAAACCAUAACAGGAAAAGUAAAGGAGGAUGUGGACAAAUGGAGAGAUAUACCAGACCAUUAUUGAAAAAACAAAAUCUAGUAAAUGUGACAAUGUUUUCAAAGUUAAUAGAUUUAAUGCAAUGUUAGUUUAAAGCCUUACAAAAUAAUUAUAGAAGCUGAAUAAUUGAUCAUCAAUCUUAGAGGAAAAUGGGAAAAAAUAGGAAAAGUUAAGAGUCUCUUAUAGAAAGAACACUUAUCAAAACUGUAGGUCUCAAACAGAAAAAAAAAUCAGUGGAACCUCUCUACUUGGUAUAGCAUCUUAAGCUUAAAACAGGGCCAAUUCCAAAUUCUAAACUGUUCCUCCUAUAGUCUGCUCCAUCUCAGUAAAUGGCAAAACUACCCUUCAAUGAUCUGGCCAAAAUACGUGGAGUCAUGCUGGACCUACUUUUUUUCACACCACAUUUAAGAGGCGAAAAAUAGAUCCAGAAUCGACCACUUCUCACCGCCUCACCUCCACCGCCCUGACCCAAGCCACCAUGGUCUCUUGCCUGUACCAUCAUCAGCCCCCUAAUGGCUGUGGUUUCCACUGCUCUCCUACUGUCUUUCUCAGCACCACAGCCAGAGCACACAAGGCAUCUUCCACCUCAAGGAACUUGACAUUCCUUUACAAUUGCUAUUCUCUCUACUGGAACCUUCUUUCCCCCAGACAUUUGCCCACUUAUUCCCUUCCUUCCUUCAGGUCUUUGCUCAAAUGUCAUCUUCUCAGUGAGGUCCUCAAGCUCCUCAGUGAAAAUGUCGAAUUUUCACCCCCAUGCCGGGCUCCCUAUCUUUCUUUCCUACCUCCCUUUUUAUUUAUUUAUCCAUCAUCUAUUUUUUAAAUUUGUCUCCCUCCCCCAACUCCUCUGCCAGAAUGUUAGCUCCACGGGGGCCAGGAUGUUUCCUUGAUUCAUAGCUGUAUCCUUAGUACCUAGAACGGUGCCUGGCACACAGUAGGUGCUCAAUAGAUAUUUAUUGAGUGAAUGAAACAAAGCAGAAAUUCCUGUAGCACUGAUGUCUUAUUUUAUAAACUUAACUUACAACAAAGGAGAAACAAUACAACAAUGCAGAAAGAUUUCAUUGCUUACUAGUUGUUUGGGCAACAGGACAAUAGAAAGGAAGUUGAUUUAGAGUAAUACAUCACAUCAUAUUGAACAAUAAAUUUCAGAUGGAUUAGAGUAAAACAUACACAAGUAUUUUUAAGAAUGGGAGAAAAAAACAUGGCUAUCUCGUGUUUGAAGAGUUGAUAAAUGUCUGACUAAUGAAGAAAUGAAAAAUAUUAAGGACAAGAUACAGAAAUAUGAAUAUAUAAAGAUUAUCCUAAAAUUUAUGGUAGAUACAUAUAAAACAAGGCUAUAGAAAUUAAAGAUGUGAAAAUAUAAUUAUUAGAAGCUUAUUCCAAAAUAGGAAAGAUCCGAUAUAAAUACAUAGUUUGUGCCUGGAUUCCACUCUAAGUUGCCAAAGGAGAUGACUAGUUUAUUCCCAAAUAAAAAGGAAGAAUAAACAUCACAUAGAAAGAUAUACAGUCUUGAAAGCAAUAAAGAAAAGAGUAUCUAAACAACUUUAAGAUAUCAUCCUAGAACUAGUAAACUAGCAAAAGCAAAUAAAAAUGAUAAACUCCAUGUUAACAGAACUGUGUGGAAAUAGGUA
ensembl:lncRNA